rnacentral:rRNA from 1 species
UACGUAGGGUGCGAGCGUUGUCCGGAAUUAUUGGGCGUAAAGAGCUCGUAGGCGGCUUGUCGCGUCGGAUGUGAAAGCCCGGGGCUUAACUCCGGGUCUGCAUUCGAUACGGGCAGGCUAGAGUGUGGUAGGGGAGAUCGGAAUUCCUGGUGUAGCGGUGAAAUGCGCAGAUAUCAGGAGGAACACCGGUGGCGAAGGCGGAUCUCUGGGCCAUUACUGACGCUGAGGAGCGAAAGCGUGGGGAGCGAACAGG